rnacentral:rRNA from 1 species
UAUUCUUCCGGUACCGUCAUCCCCCCGCCGUAUUAGGGCAGAGGUUUUCUUUCCGGACAAAAGUGCUUUACAACCCGAAGGCCUUCUUCACACACGCGGCAUUGCUGGAUCAGGCUUGCGCCCAUUGUCCAAAAUUCCCCACUGCUGCCUCCCGUAGGAGUCUGGGCCGUGUCUCAGUCCCAGUGUGGCUGGUCGUCCUCUCAGACCAGCUACAGAUCGUCGCCUUGGUAGGCCUUUACCCCACCAACUAGCUAAUCUGCCAUCGGCCGCCCCUGUAGCGAGAGGUCSUAAGAUCCCCCCCUUUCCUCCGUAGAGCGUAUGCGGUAUUAAUCCGGCUUUCGCCGGGCUAUCCCCCACUACAGGACACGUUCCGAUGUAUUACUCACCCCGUUCGCCACUCGCCACCAGGGUUGCCCCCGUGCUGCCGUUCGACUUGCAUGUGUAAGGCAUGCCGCCACCGUUUCAAUCUGAACCAAGAAUCAAACUCUGUCGACAUCCA